CUUACUAGGUCAGGACACAGUAAGGAUUGACAGAUUGAAAGCUCUUUCUUGAUUUUGUGGAUGGUGGUGCAUGGCCGUUUUUAGUUGGUGGAUUGAUUUGUCUGGUUAAUUCCGAAAACGAACGAGACCUUAACCUGUUAACUAUGUGAUGUUAAAAUUCGACUUCGGUCUCAAUAUUUGAUAUUAAAAAUUUAAUACUUCUUAAAGGAACAAUUCAAACUUUAAUUGAAUGGAAGUUUAAGGCAAAAACAGGUCUGUGAUGCCCUUCGAUGUUCUGGGCUGCACGCGCGUUACACUGAUAUGUUCAAUGAGUUUUUAAAUUUCCUAGUCUGAAAAGACGUGGUAAACUUAGAAAAACAUAUCGUGAUUGGAAUAUAUUUUGUAAUUAUCGCACUUGAACGAGGAAUUCCUAGUAGGGGCAAUUCAUCAAAUUGCCCCGAUUACGUCCCCG
rnacentral:rRNA from 1 species